GCCACGGCCCCCCCCAGCUGGCAAUUUUUGGGGGGCGCAAAAAUGAAAAGGGGGCGCCGAUCCCGCGCCGAAUUUCGAAAGUAGGUGGGAAGAAACGCAUUCGAAAAAAUAUAGUUGCUAAUUCCGCCAAUGAAAGAUGUGUUUAUAGACUUAUAAACAGACUAAGCGCAUAGGUGACAAAGUGAGUAUAUUUCUCGGUGACAAAGUGAGUAUAUUUAUUGCAGACUAUUUUGUCUAACCGUAUUUGCUACCUCACGACUCACACGAAAUCACUCGUUCAUAUAGAAACAUGAUCAGUGAUCACACGCAAUGUCUCAUUACCGGAAUAUUGACCAGGCUUCGAAGCGAUCACGGGAAUUAUGCCCUUUUUUGCUGGUAUUAUACCCUUAUAUUAUGCCCUUUAUUAUGCUUCACGAAUCACGAGGGCGGUGCAAAUUAGAUAGUUGAAGUUAU